GCCUUGGCAGCACAGUCAAGGACAAGCCUCAGCCUUCCAGUCUCCUGCAAGCACUCUCUGCUCUGUGGCACGG
rnacentral:RNase_MRP_RNA from 1 species